GAUGAACGCUGGCGGCGUGCCUAAUACAUGCAAGUCGAGCGAACGGACGAGAAGCUUGCUUCUCUGAUGUUAGCGGCGGACGGGUGAGUAACACGUGGAUAACCUACCUAUAAGACUGGGAUAACUUCGGGAAACCGUAGCUAAUACCGGAUAAUAUUUUGAACCGCAUGGUUCAAAGGUGAAAGACGGUCUUGCUGUCACUUAUAGAUGGAUCCGCGCUGCAUUAGCUAGUUGGUAAGGUAACGGCUUACCAAGGCAACGAUGCAUAGCCGACCUGAGAGGGUGAUCGGCCACACUGGAACUGAGACACGGUCCAGACUCCUACGGGAGGCAGCAGUAGGGAAUCUUCCGCAAUGGGCGAAAGCCUGACGGAGCAACGCCGCGUGAGUGAUGAAGGUCUUCGGAUCGUAAAACUCUGCUAUUAGGGAAGAACAUAUGUGUAAGUAACUGUGCACAUCUUGACGGUACCUAAUCAGAAAGCCACGGCUAACUACGUG
rnacentral:rRNA from 1 species